ensembl:lncRNA
CUGUAACACAAACACCACAAUCAACACAAGUACUGCCAAUUCAGGCUUAGGCAACAACGAUAUGUACGCAGCUCCUACCUGCAACACCGGGGGAAGUCAGGUGACCGAAAGGAGACAACAGAGGUUGCUGCUUCCCACGGUUUGGACUCACCUGGAGCUGCGUUUUCUCUCUCCUCCUUGCCUGCCUGCCCACACUCUGGCUGUAGUGCUGCUGUCAGUGAAACCCUCUGCACUCUCGAAAUACCGUGGACCUCCCCUCCUCAGAGCUUUCAAAGCACAGACCUGCAAAGCCAAAUUACAGUGUGGCUGAUCAUGAGUUGUUGACAGUGAAGCUGGCACGGGAGGAAUGGAGGCAACUAUUCAUGGUCUGAAUACCAGCCAUUCAUCAUCACUGCCACUGGCAUCAUCAGCUGACUCAGAUGCUAUAUACUCCACUGUCCUGUAGGCCUUCAUAUCACAAGCUGUAGGCCUACUUGGACUCCACUACAUAAAGACACUAAUAUGUCCUCACGUGAUCAAUAUGCAAAAACAUUGUUUUGUUGAUAAAAACUGUUAAUUAUAUUCUAAUAACAAAUAUCAAUUAAAUACCAAUGUUACAGUAAUGGUAUGAACUGCAGUUAAAAUAAAGUCAAUGAUGAAUGGCGUCUAAUUUUGAGGACAUGACAUUAAUCGAAAAUUUCUCAAAAUAUAAAAAAAUAUUUGGACAUUUUAACAAUUAUAUUAAUCCUUAG